UUGGCGGACGGGUGAGUAACGCGUGGGUAACCUGCCUUGCACUGGGGGAGUAACACUUAGAAAUAGGUGCUAAUACCGCAUAAGCGCACGGUCCUGCAUGGGACAGUGUGAAAAACUCCGGUGGUGCAAGAUGGACCCGCGUCUGAUUAGCUGGUUGGCGGGGUAAAGGCCCACCAAGGCGACGAUCAGUAGCCGGCCUGAGAGGGUGGACGGCCACAUUGGGACUGAGACACGGCCCAAACUCCUACGGGAGGCAGCAG
rnacentral:rRNA from 1 species